ACAUUGUGGGCCAAUUUUUGGUAUUUGUUGUUGAGCCCAAUAGUAAAAAUAGACACAUGACACCUAGGGUUUUGUGAAGGAGGUGGACCCCACCCUAUUUUUGAGACACUUGGCCUUAGCAAGAGAAGCUACCAGCCGUCACAUUGAUUCAGAGAGUUUUGCUGGAAGGGGGUUUUNUAUUAGGCACCUGNCGAGACACUUCAUGGAACGGGGGCCUGAACGUUUUUGUUAGAUAGCAUUUUCUCUUUGCUGGCACAAUAUUCACGGUGAUGGAAUUUGGAUGAAUGGAGAGAUAUAAUUUGUUUCUUUGCUUUUUGUUUGCAUUUAAAAAAGAGUUUCCACGCGUUGCAGAUUUUGAGCAAUCGGUGCCUGUUCUUGUCUUGUGGUUGCAGCCGGUCUUCUCCUUUGCUUUUUAAAUUGUUUCAUUAUUGUUUGAUUCUAGCAUUUAGCUUUGUUGGAGGAUGCAGCAUAGCUGCCACGGGUGUUGAUUGAUGGAGAUAUGAGCUUGGUUUCACGGCUGCACGUACGGUUUUUGAAGGGUUGGAGAACUUUUUAUUUUAAUUUCUUGUAAAUGAAGAUGAGUAGUGGGAAAUCACGUCCAUGCUAGGAUUAUAGGUUGUUUGACUUACAGUCAUUCCUUUUUCUUCAUUUAAAAGCACAUGAAUAUUGUUAGCUAAAGUGAACGGCCUCGGGAUGCAUGUCCAGGAGAUACAUUUACGUUUUCUUUGCUGCACAUGGUGGCUGAUUUCUUAUUCACAUUUUUUUUUUCAGCAUUUUUGGUUAAAUUGUUUAAUGGUGUUUUCUUUUAGUUUUUAAUUUAAAUUUCAUUUAUUAGAUAAAGCAGAAUCUCCUUUAUUGAACUUUAAUCGAUGCAUGCUUUCUUGCAUUAAUUUUUAUUUUGCAUUGUUUAAAUUCGGUUCCAG
rnacentral:lncRNA from 1 species